UUCUUGCCUGUUCAAUUUGUGAAAAGACAUGCAAGAACUGGCGGGUUUUCUUCUAGGAACCAUCAUCUGCUCACAUCUCAGACUGCAGCUGCUGCUCUGUAUUCCAGCCACAUGUGCAACCAUGUGAAUAUGGAAGUAACAAACAAAAGCCUCUGCUUUAGCCAUGUUUCCCUUAAGAUUCAAUCGUUUCACAGGUGCUGGUUUACCAGUGCUCAUUGAGACAUAGUGUUUGUGUGUGUGUGUGUGUGUGUGCAUGUGUGCACUUAAGCACAUGUGCGGAUUUCUGUCUGUACUUAUGUGUAAGUGUCAUUGUUGAACAGAAACCCCCUUUCUAUUUAAGUGCUAAACAGAAUGACUCACCCUGUCACAGCUGCAAAUGUCCAUACUCUCAGGACUCAGUGUUCUGCUUUCAGCAGAGGGCAUUGCAUACAUGGGUACCAAAACCCAAACCCCUGAAAGUAAAAUGGGCUGUGCAGUACACUCUUAGACUGCGAGUCAAACCCAGAUAGAGCUCUGUCAGUUGUAUUGGUCUUCCUGAUUCCUGAGGCCUAGCCUACAAAGAACGAGGUUGAGCUACAUGAACUAUCCUGAUCCUAUCUCCAAUGAAAAACGAGCCUGCAAACAAUGGUGUUUACUGUCAAUGGUGGUUAUCAUCCAGUUCAUUACAUUUAUAUUGAGAUUAUGUAAGGGCAAUUACACAAUUUCUAAAUCAGAACAUUUUGGCUCACAAAGAACAAAACAAGUCCCUUAUUAAGUUGCCCCUUUGCCAGGCCACUGCCCGGCCACAUGGAGGAUUCGCAGGUCCAAUGGGAUCUGCAGGAACAACAAAACUCUUCAUCCUGUCAGGAAAGCAUGGCAGAGAAUCCUAGACCUACGACAAACUAAGCAACUUAUUUGAAGCCUGGGCAACAUGAAAAUAACUUCUUUUUUUUUUUUUACCUAGCGUGUCUAAGUUGGAGCCUCACAUUAUUUUCACACAGAUAAACUUGAAACAAAAGGCCUUGGCUGACUCAAUGUUUCCAGUAGGGUGAAGAGUAGAGGGAUUUUACAGAGCUGUACCAUGUGUCUUGGCCAGUACCGCACUGACUCAUUAUUAGCAAUCAGAAUUGGAUCUGGAUGCCUUUUGCUGCUGUGGUUCUGUGGGGUAAAGGCUCCCAUGACUGUGAGACGUUUUGUCAAGCUGCUCAUCUCUGUAAUUUAGCAAUUUGGUUUGAUUAUUGUGGGGAUUUUGUUUCGACUGAACCCAGAAUAGCUUGGGCCGAUGAGCAAAGGGGGCUUACUAAUCUUUUUCCUGUUUCCUAAGUGCAAAAACACAUUCUGAUGGGGCUGACAGGUUCUCCGCAGCUCUGGUUUCUCAGUGCACAGACUGAUGUGUCCCCCUAAUGAGAAGUUUUCUUGACUGCGGUGCUCCAGCCCUCCAGACUCCACCUGAGCUCCAUAAAUCAUAGAGGCAGAGUCGCUGGGGGUCAAUGCGAGAGCCCUGAAGAGGAGCCGUCUCUUCACUCCGUUCACUCAGUGCUUGUCCUGGUUCAGUGAGUUGGGCCAUGCGAACCGGAUCACACUUUUUUUUUUUAUAUCUGUGCUAUGUCAUGUGCUACUACUAAGUUCUCAAAGCUCUUAAAUGCCAUUUCCAAAAGGGGCAGCAUUAAAAACAAUGAGCGUCAGGCCAUGUACACCCCUCCUGAGCUACAGGUUUCCUGUCUCGCUAGUCUUGCUAGGACUUGCCCCAUGUAUUCUGCUUUAUUGAGUAAUAAAAAGCAUAAUAGGGUUCAUCUUUUCUUGUUAACAGCACAGUGUGCGUUUGACUGAAUGUGACAAAGGGUGAGAGAAAGACUGGAUAUGAAGUGAAUUUGGAGCGGCCCCCUUGAAGGCAUAUGUAAACAUUUACGGUUUGUCUCAAGCUGCUGGUGUGAUUACAGAGGCUGUACUGUACAGAGGCAGUCAAAUGGAAAAUGCAGAGCACAUGAGUAUGAGUGGCCUUCUUGCUGGGGAACAUUUCCUGACCACUCUGCUUCAUGGUAUUAGCUGGGCUCUGCCUCCCGAAACUGAUGUGUUGCAUCUGAUAUAGAGGCUUGUUUGGAGAUCCAGUCAACAUCUGUCCAUACUCUGUUCAAGUAUGUUUAUGGGUUUGCUUAUCUCCAGAUUGAAUAGAUGCCGUAGUACUGGGAGGGGAUCAGACUUGGCGGCAUAGAAUGACGCAAUGGAAACGCAACCAGAAGAGGGCCCCAUCAUGAGGUUUGGACUGAAAAUGAAACAAGACUAGCACCCAGCCUCAUGGAAGACGUUUUUCUCAUGAAAAACCAAAGCUUGGGCAUCAAGAGGUUUCAUCACGGCCACAGGAAUGAUAGUAGCAAAACAUAGCUGGAUAUGUACUUAGCCAUGUUCUACUACAGACAUUGUCUUCCCCCACAAACCAGGCCACAUUAAAUUUGGCGCUCAUUUGCCUCAGCUGCUCACUAGGAGCUCACAUGUCGAAUAAAGUGAUUAAAGAGAAAUCUUGCCGUUCAUAAUACAGAUGCCGAGUUUUUAGAAAUGAAUCAUUUGCAUUUGUUGUUUUCAUACUGUAAAAAUAAUAACUUAUAAUUAAAAUAAUAAUAAAUGGGUUGUUGCGGGUUAGUUGC